rnacentral:sRNA from 1 species
CCUCGCUCUGCUGGGGCCUCCGGACGCGCUCCCCACGCGGGUCUCUGGAACACUCGGGCCGAACGCCCGCCCGCUUGCACUCACACUGCGGUUCACACCCGCAGGCGCUCUCGCACCCACACUGCCGCUCACGCGCGCUCACACUCCCCAACGCGCGCUCCGCUCCGGCUCCAGCCCCGCGCCCCGCGAAGGCGCAGGCACUGCUGCCGAAAGCGCCUAGGGGCCCCGCGGCCUUCCCAUGGCGGACCUGAGCUUCAUCGAAGAUACCGUCGCCUUCCCCGAGAAGGAAGAGGAUGAGGAGGAAGAAGAGGAGGGUGUGGAGUGGGGCUACGAGGAAGGUGUUGAGUGGGGUCUGGUGUUUCCUGAUGCUAAUGGGGAAUACCAGUCUCCUAUUAACCUAAACUCAAGAGAGGCUAGGUAUGACCCCUCGCUGUUGGAUGUCCGCCUCUCCCCAAAUUAUGUGGUGUGCCGAGACUGUGAAGUCACCAAUGAUGGACAUACCAUUCAGGUUAUCCUGAAGUCAAAAUCAGUUCUUUCGGGAGGACCAUUGCCUCAAGGGCAUGAAUUUGAACUGUACGAAGUGAGAUUUCACUGGGGAAGAGAAAACCAGCGUGGUUCUGAGCACACGGUUAAUUUCAAAGCUUUUCCCAUGGAGCUCCAUCUGAUCCACUGGAACUCCACUCUGUUUGGCAGCAUUGAUGAGGCUGUGGGGAAGCCGCACGGAAUCGCCAUCAUUGCUCUGUUUGUUCAGAUAGGAAAGGAACAUGUUGGCUUGAAGGCUGUGACUGAAAUCCUCCAAGAUAUUCAGUAUAAGGGGAAGUCCAAAACAAUACCUUGCUUUAAUCCUAACACUUUAUUACCAGACCCUCUGCUGCGGGAUUACUGGGUGUAUGAAGGCUCUCUCACCAUCCCACCUUGCAGUGAAGGUGUCACCUGGAUAUUAUUCCGAUACCCUUUAACUAUAUCCCAGCUACAGAUAGAAGAAUUUCGAAGGCUGAGGACACAUGUUAAGGGGGCAGAACUUGUGGAAGGCUGUGAUGGGAUUUUGGGAGACAACUUUCGGCCCACUCAGCCUCUUAGUGACAGAGUCAUUAGAGCUGCAUUUCAGUAGCCAAAGAGGACAGGAACAAGUCUGUCUUCAUGAGGGUAUGUCCAGAUUAAGUAAGGAAAAUGAGGCGCACAGCUACUUAAACCUAGCGUACCAAAGGUACACUUAUUGUGAUCCUGGUAAUUUAGUAAUAAAAGCAUAUGUACUUCAUCUUGAUAAAAUUUAUGACACAUUCUUGAGCUCUGUUAAUUACAGGUCAAGUAGUUAUUUUAAUUUUAUGCAGUAUUGAAGAAAAACUAUGAUUAUAUUUUCCUAUCAGAGUAGCCUUUAAUUCCAAGUUUUGGUGGCUUUCAUAAGAACAGACACCCUCAGGCCCAGAAAAAGUGACAUGCAUGCAUACCUCUUUAGUAACUUACCAUGUUGUCCUCUUGAAGCAGCACCAGUCAUGUCCCAGUGACCAAGGAGCACAUAGGAGGGGACUUGGGGAGCGUGUGAGCCUCAGUGUGGACCCUUCUCGUCUCCUGCAGAAUUGAUCCUCUUGUUUCUCAGGGGGAGGGAGCAUAUCUGGCAUGCAUUGAAAUACUUCUUCUAUGGAAGUGCCUUUUAUAUGAUAAAUUGAGAAGCACUUAUUAAUUAUCUGAAUAUGAUACACUAUUGAUUGAAACAUAAUCUAUGUAUUUUAAUAUAUAGAAUUCAAUGUUAUGUAUUCCUUACUCUUAAGGAACUAACAAAAUAAAAUAUCACAAACAUGGACGAGAUAAAAUGUAAAAAAGACUAUA